AUGCAUUCUCCUUGAUGUCCUUAUAAUUACAGGAGACCCAGACAUACACAUAUGCAUGGAGAAAAGACCAUGUGAAGAGAUAGUGAGAGGACAACCAUCAGCAAACCACUGAAAGACACCUGAGGAAAAACCAAGCCUCCCAACCCCUUGAUCUUGAGCUUCAGACUUGUAGAACUGUGAGAAAAUAUAUUUCUGUUGCUUAGAUCAUGAAGUUUUUGGCAUUUUACUGCAACCCUAUCAAUUACAAUUUAAUACAAGAAGUUAAUGAAGACCCCUUCACUACUGCCAUCCUGAGAUCAUCUUCACUCUCAAGGCUUUCCCAAAUGUCGUGGUUACCUCUCCCAGGGAAGCAAACAGCUGCAAGAAAAUAUCAGCACUGUUGAAGAGCCAUAGAGAGGAACACUUGGUUAAUGACAAUGUGAGAUCGAAUGGCUAAAUGGUAAUUCUUAAAAUAUCAAAUUAAGGAGAGUCUUGGUUAUUAGUGUCUCGGAAAAACUGCCCA
rnacentral:lncRNA from 1 species